rnacentral:lncRNA from 1 species
CAAGAGAGAAGGGACUAUUACAAAUCCUGAAGAAAUCUCCAAAGGAAUCUGAGGAGUCUCUGUGGAAUAGACUCACAGUCCUCAUUAUGGUACCGAAUCUUCAGUCUCUUGAUGUGUUCAAGGGGAAAGAGCAACAACAGCCACCACCUAACACUUAGAACAGGGAGUUGAACAAGCCAGAUGAUCUUCAUUCUCCCAUUUAAAGCAUUAAAAAAAUUGGCUGGGGGAGCACCUGUCCAAAUGGAUUGGAAAGCAGGAGUUUAGUGGAAAGGCACACGCCUUGCAGGUCUAAGAUCCCUAGCAUCGUCUUUAAGUGGCAAUAGGUCAUCUGUCUGGAGAUUGGCUGCCAGUCGAGAUAGCCAAUGCUAGACUUGAGCAGACACCUCACAGGUAGGGCAGUAGAAGAUGCUUCAAUCAAAUUUGCAACACCACAGUUAUUUGAUGGACCAGUGAUCUCACCUGAUACAAAGCAGUUUUUCUCCCAACUCUAGAGUUCAGGGACUUUACUUUAAAAAUCUGGGCAUCACGAUUUCCUUCCAACCUCUUCCCAGCGGAGACUCUAACAGACAACAAGCUAAGGGUCAGCAGCAUCCCUGAUGUACGUAUGUGCUACAUAUGUUUCUUUGGUGUGACUCCCAGUGUACUUAAAGAUCAGAGUAUCUUCAGACAGUUCUUGCCACUUUAAAGCUAGUAAAAUCUAGAUUUUCCCUGCCUCCUCCUAUCAGAGGAAUUAGCCAUGAGAAGUAUGGCCACCAUGAUUGUGCCACAGGCAUCCCUUUCAAAGCAGCACAGAGAAGACCUCCACCAAUAGCCCCUUGACACUGCAAUAUCCAUCUUUGUGAACCUUCUAUAUGUUGCGUUAGAAGCUUGACCCUAACUCAGCCAACUGUUGUACAACUUAACAUAAACUCACCACACCAGGAACAUCUGGGAAUAGCAUGAAGGUAAGAUUAUAUUCUGUAAUUGGAGGGGAGAAAAGGAACUCAUUUCACUCUUUAAGAUGAAAUUUACCUGCUUGGUAGUACUAUCUGCUUCAGAAUUCUAUGAUUCUAGUCUGUUUUAUAUGAUCUAGUUGAGAUUCCUGCAUUUCAGGGGGUUAGACUUUCGUGGUCCCUUCUAACUCUGCAAUUCUAUGAUUCUUUGGUAUGUCACUAAUGUUAAUAUUUUCCACCUUGAAAGCUUGUUACUUUCAAUUGGUGCUGAAUGAAAGGGGGUGUAUGUUUUGUUUGGACGUGCAACUUUUCAUCUUCCCUUUUGUUUUCACCUUCAGGAGGGUUCUAAAAAUAUAUCCUUCUAUUCAGUUUCUCAAUUUUCACUUAUUUUCACUUCUUGUGAGAGAGACAACGUGCCUCAGUGCAAAUCUCAAGGAAAUUAACUUUGGAAUUUUCUCAUAUUCCUGUUUUGUUCUGACUUCUCUUUUUCCAUGUGAGAAACUGGUGAUUGGUGCCCAUUAAGACUCUUAGGGCAAAAGUUAGGGAGGCCAAUGGUAUAUGGAGCCAGGGCCAAUGACAGGCAGAGCCAACUAAUUCCAGUUUUGUUCCACCCUUCUCUCUUCUGCAUUCAAGGAAGAAGCUGACAGGUGGUGCAAUCCGCUAGGCUGGUUGUAAGUAGGCAGGCAGGCAGGUGCAGACUGGCUGAGGACAAAGGAAGGUAAGCUGAACCCUUGGUAGAAUUGUUGAGUUGGAGGUACAGUUUGCCAAAUGCUUUGGCACAGGUUUCCCCCCCAGCAUUUCAUGAUAGGUCAGGGGUUGGAUUAGAUGACUGUUGUGGUAGGGUUGCCAUAUUUCUAGAAGUAAAAUUCAGGACACAAUUCUACCCUUUAAAUCGGUGUUGGGGAACCUGUGGCCCUCCAGAUAGACCCAGGCACGGGAGUAAAGGCUCUUCGGAAUCUGAGAACUAUAAAGGGGACAAUGUAGCCAUGAAAUUAAAUAAAACCCACAGAGACGUACAGUAUAUGUGCUAAUGCUUGUCCCGGUACUUUAGUACUCGAAGCCCCAUCACUAUGGAAAGUGUACUCAGGCAGCACAUAAUGGAGUGGUGAUAACACCCUUUUUCUUCCAAGCCACUGAAUCAUCUUGUGUGUGUGUGCCCCCCCCCACAUCAUAUACAUAUAUAUGAAUGAGUAGGCUAUGAAGAGCAAUCUUAGGUAGAUCUACUCUAAGAUAAGCACAACAGAGUUCAGCUUUAGAAAGGAAGAAACCAGGGACAGAUGAAAACAGGAAUUGGAUUACCUAAAUCUGGAGGGCCCCCCAAAACAGAAACUGUUAAGUGGCUACUCACACCUCACAGUGGAAAAAAAGAAAGGAAAUACACCACCCCCAAAAGGACACAUGUUUGCAUUGGCAUUAUAUGCUGAAUAAGUCUUGCCCAUGUGAGCACUGGCUGCUGAAUUCUGCACCAUCUAAAGUUUCCAACCCAUCUUCAGAGGCAGCCCCACAUAUAACAUGUUGCAGUAAUCUAACCUAGAGGUUACCAGAGCAUAGAUGGUAGAAGUUAGGCUAUCACCUAUCCCAGAUAGGGACACAGCUGGGCCACCAGCUGAAGCUGAUAAAUGCACUCUGUGCCAUGGAACAUAAUAGGCAGCUUAGAGGGGUUAAAUCUAAAACAAUUCCCAGUUAUUUGGUUCCCAUUUUUCAGGUUUUUUCUCCCUGCGAAAACAGGCAGCAUUCCUUCCUCCAGAUCUCCACUGUCCAUUAUGGACUGAUAUUGUAUCUAAACAUUUUUGGCCUGUAACUUAAAAUCUAUACAUCAUCUUUGUUGACCUAUUGCUGUUUCUUUAUCUUCAAUGUUUCCCCC